AAGAGCGCGUAGGUGGCCACAUAAGUCCGUUGUGAAAGUCAAAGGCUCAACCUUUGAAAGCCGAUGGAUACUGUGUGGCUAGAGUACGGAAGAGGCGAGUGGAAUUCCUGGUGUAGCGGUGGAAUGCGCAGAUAUCAGGAGGAACACCAAUAGCGAAGGCAGCUCGCUGGGACGUUACUGACACUGAGGCGCGAAAGCGUGGGGAGCGAACAGGAUUAGAUACCCUUGGU
rnacentral:rRNA from 1 species